GGGCAUUACACAUGGAGCAUCCGUCAGUCAAAGGCUGAACCCGUGAGCAUAAGGUAGUUGGUCAAUAGACCAAUUCAUUAGCCUGGCCUACACUAAUCACAAGAAAUCUGCAGACAACGGUUGAUGGGGUAAGUGGACCCAACCAACCCCAACAUCUACAUAAAGAGAAUCCAAUGGUAAAUACCUAUGGAAUUGAAGGUUUAGGAAGUGAAUAUACGUACCAAGUGUUUACAUUAAUUCAGCGCGAAAGGUGUUUACAUCAUUUAAACGAAUAUAUGAAACACAUCUUCAGCUUUAUUGACAUGGAUUCCAACAUUGACUUAGCAAUGAAUGACCAAGAAACAGAUUUAUUACGUGGCAGCACCAACAAGCCUGAUCAAUCUCUUAAUCCUAACUACCACCAAUAAUAUCAGCUUUCGUGACAAAUUAACCCACAAUAAUACCUCUUUUUAUAACUCUCUCUUUGAAAUUCUUAACCAGUCCCUCCAAAACCUUGAUCUCUCUGGUGAAAAAGAAAAUCCCUCCAAUCACCCACACUUCCAUCCCCAUAACCACUGCCGAUAAAAGCAGACUUUACACCAAUUGACAACAAACUAUCAUUGUAAAGCUUUUAGGACAAAAAUUUAGGAGGAAAACUCGGCUAUAAUUUCCUCAAGUCUAAGCUUCAGCUGCUAUGGCAACCUAUCGAACCUCUGAACAACUUAUAGGUUUGGGCAACAAUUAUUACCUUAUCCGAUUCACCCAUACCCACAACUAUCACAAAGUUUUACACCAGGGUCCCUGGUUCCUUGGUUCACAACACAUUACAAUACGGAAUUGGGAACAAAAAUUUUCCACAGCUGAUGACACAAAUCAUUCAUCCCUAACCUGGAUUUGUCUCCUUGAAUUACCCACAGAAUACUUCGACACUGAAAUUUUGAAAAAAGUCGGGACCAUGAUUGGAUCAUUGUUAAAGAUCGACUCCUGUACUUCCCUUACUAGCAGGGAAGAUAUGCAUGCUUGUGUGUACUUGCACCUAUUGGACGACCCCUUCCUCGAGAAGUGCUCAUUGAAACUCAUCUGCAGAAAAUAUCCUAUGAAACUACAACUCCAAUGUGUUCAAACUGUGGUUGUAUUGGACAUCUUUCACCUUCCUGCCCUGCUCAGGUUCCCCACCAUGAAUCCACUACAAACAUGCCUAACUCCACUCUAUCUCAAAUUUCCACUACAUACCCCUCUAAUGACCCCUCUACAAAUAACCAAAAUGGAUGGCACACUGUUUCUUACUCCAAACGUAAGACCCCCAUCACUCAACAUUUGUCCAAUCCCCCCACACAGUACAACCGCCACCAAAGCAAAUCUCAUCGGCACUAAUAGGGUUGAAACCCCAAAACCUAUUGACAGCUAAAUUCUCCCAAUUACCCUUGAUUAUAACUUACAGUUACCAAAUAACCCAAUGCCUGCCACGUUUGCACCACCUCAUACUCCACUAAAUCACAAAACAUCCACCUUCACUGCGCAUCCUAUAAUCACCUCCUCUGCAACAUCCCUCCACAUGACAAACCCUUUCUCUACUCUUCAAGACAUUAUCCCUGACCCUACACAUUCAACACGUAUAUCGCACCCCCUAUCGGUUUUGAGGCUGUUGCCCACCAUGUUAAUAUGCAACAAGUGAAAGAAAAGCAGAUCACUACUGACAAAAAAAGAAAAAAAGUCUUUAAACAAAUGACAAAUUCCUUUCACGACAACCUCAAAGAAUCAAAACAAAUUCCUACUCAUUCUUCUAACACCCCUACUACUCCUAAUUCCCAUCCUUUUAUCAUCCAUGCACUUGACGCAUCCACCUCAAUACCUCCUCUAAAUUGCUUCACGACGGGUAAUACAUGCACUAUCCUACCUUCACGUAUUGCUGAUCAAGCAUUACCUAUAUCUACAGACUCUAUGGAUACUCAAGUACCCUAUAAUUCACAAUCUCCAUGUAAAAUAGCUGAUACUUUCAAAGACCAUCCGAUGAAGGCUUAUUUACUAUCUCCUACUACAUUAUCUAUUACUACUACUCCUUUCACACCUCAAACUCAAGUUCCAGACAACUCUUCCUCAUCCUUAUAGAAUGCCUCGCUAUCUAUUUCACCAAGGAGUCAGGAAUCUGCGUCCUCUUCGCCACUAUCAACGUCAUCGUUACUACCAUAUGGAGGAGGACGACGACUCGGAUCAGGAAACACCAUACACGCCCAGUAUCCAUCAUUACACUACUUAUCAGUACCACCUCUUGGCUCUCAAUAUGACUUACUACCCUCAAAUGUUCCCACCACCACAGCCCACACUUCCUUACCCCAACCCUUAUCCCUUGGAACAUCAAGAACAAAUUGUACCAUAACACAAUCACCAAAUAAUUUCAACAAAACGCCAGCCCUAGUUUCAUCCCAUCACUCACAUGCUCAACAAUACCCUCCGUUUGACCAUACAGAAUAUGCAACUCCUUCAACUUCUACAAUUAAAAGAUACCCCUCCGUUGCCUCCCCCACCCGAGAUGGAGGCUCAACUUCCUCUCCCUCACCCAUUACCCAUCUUGUCGAAUUUGCCAUCAUCAACCUCUCACCUCGAUUACCUUCUAACGGAGAUGGCAUCCCCAACCAUAUUACCGCCUCCACUACUCAUCUCACCCAACUUGUUAAUAAAAACCUCUCAAAUCGAAAGCCUCGGCAAUCCACUACUGUCACAAUGGACAUUAUCCCCUAUAACCCAUACCUCGAUCCCCUCAUUCCAAGACAUGCAACAAAACACCCCAGAGAUACCGAACCUGGAGUAUUUCUACUAAAAACGACACUUACUUACCUCUUAUUUUGGAUUGCAGGUUAUUGAUGACACAACUGCGGUAAUCGGAACUUAAGCAUAUCUAUUGCAAAGCAAACAAUGUAGCGGAUCUCCUGGAAAAACAUGACAUGACCUUAGCUCCUGGUACUGGCCAACACGGUUGUCAUCCACUACAUUACGAAGAACCCCGCCUUAUGCUUUACUUGCUUUCAAUAAAGACUGUUCAAACACUUGUCUAAGAAGAACAGUCCCCUUAUGUACAAACUCUACUGCCUUUCUUUCUUAGUUUUUAAUAAUAUUUCCGUUUUAGC
rnacentral:lncRNA from 1 species